GACGAACGCUGGCGGCGUGCCUAAUACAUGCAAGUAGAACGCUGAAGAGAGGAGCUUACUCUUCUUGGAUGAGUCGCGAACGGGUGAGUAACGCGUAGGUAACCUGCCUUGUAGCGGGGGAUAACUAUUGGAAACGAUAGCUAAUACCGCAUAACAACGGAUGACACAGGUCAUUUAUUUGAAAGGGGCAAUUGCUCCACUACAAGAUGGACCUGCGUUGUAUUAGUUAGUAGGUGAGGUAAUGGCUCACCUAGGCGACGAUACAUAGCCGACCUGAGAGGGUGAGCGGCCACACUGGGACUGUGACACGGCCCAGACUCCUACGGGAGGCAGCAGUAGGGAAUCUUCGGCAAUGGGGGCAACCCUGACCGAGCAACGCCGCGUGAGUGAAGAAGGUUUUCGGAUCGUAAAGCUCUGUUGUCAGUCAGGAACGGGUGUGAGAGUGAAAAGUUCACACUGUGACGGUAGCUGACCAGAAAGGAACGGCUAACUACGUG
rnacentral:rRNA from 1 species